AGGCUCUUCUCUGAGUUCUGUCAGUGGCUCUCCCAGUGCUUCCAGCCUGUCCAUUUGGGCCACAGCAACGAGCAGGGUCACAGAACCAACUUGGGGCUUCUUCCAGUUGCUGAAUAGCAAAGCAAAUCUAGAGUUGGAGAAUUAGUCGGAAGAUGGGUUCAGGAACUCACCAGACACACAGAUUAACUGACAAAUGGACCCGAGGUGGAUGAAAUUACAUGGAGCCCCACAUGACCAGCUGUGUUCAAGCAGAGAUUCACCAGGAGGAUGUAGAAAAUGUUCCUGUUCAAGGAGAGAAAUUUCAAGGUGGAGAUGGUAGGGGCAGGGGAGCUAGAGUGUUGUGUUUUAAAACAUUCAGGAGAUCAAAAUAGGUAUGCAAGCUCAGAAGAUCCUUCAGGAAUAGCAGAAAUAAUGGCACAUACUCUUCAUUGUGGGAUACUUUAAAAUGACUAAUAAAAUGAAGGUUAACUAUCUUCCCUUUGACAUAUUUUCAAAGCCUUCA